GGAGAAUGUAGCUCAGUUGGUUAGAGCGCUGGUUUGUGGUACCAGAGGUCGCGGGUUCGAGACCCGUCUUUCUCCC
rnacentral:tRNA from 1 species